GUUCCGAUGGCCUCUGUCCCUUCUCGGAGACCUUCAUCCCUGACUCCAGCAAGGGCGUUGGCCCCAGGGCACCCGCAUCCCCGGCACCAGCCCAGGCCCAGACCCCCACCCCUGCUCCAGCCCCAGCCUCCUCUCAAGCACCCCUUCAGCCAGAGGAUGACAUUCUGUACCAGUGGCGGCAGCGGCGGAAGCUUGAACAGGCUCAGGGAAGCAAGGGUGACAGAACUUGGGUGCCACCUCUGACCCCUGCCCUCUGCACUCUGACCUCUCCUGCUCCAGUGGAGACCCUCAGUUCUCUGGGGACCCAGCCUAACCAUGUCCCACUGUGGAGCAGUGUGGCCCAGCAUGGUCCACCAGAGGCCAUCUAUGUGGAGAGGCCUCCUUUUCCCUCAGUGUCCUCUCCACACAUCUUUUGGGCCCCCAGCUCACAUGGGUUCUUCUGGGCCCCACAGUCUGGGCCUUGGGUAUCCCUUGGGGCUGUUCCUCCCACGCAGCAGGCCUCCACCCUAGCACAUCUGGGCUGUACUCUCGCGCCCCCGGCUUCCCUGGCCUCCACCCUCGAACCCCCAGCCUCCACCCCGGCUCCCCUGGCCUGUACCCCUGC
rnacentral:sRNA from 1 species